GUCACCAUAGGGCAUAAAGCACAUUCUAAUUAGAAUGGUUAUUCUUAAUUGUCAGUCACAGAGCAGAGUUCUAGUUGCUAUCUCCCAGAGCCUACCAUGGUGCUCUGAACAGAGCAGGGAGAAUAAAGACAGUGAUGCUGCUUCAUGCUGAGCACAUACCACAUACCAAGACUUGUGUGGAGCCUCUAUUACCUUAUCUCUUUCCUCCUCAAAUAAUCCAAUGGAUACCAUUCAUUUUAUAAUCAAUCAAACAACCUUGAAAGGCUGAUCUCCAUAACUUACAGAAAAAGCUAUGGCUCAAAGAAGUUAAGUGACUUGAUAAAGGUCACAGAAGGUGCAAGGCAGAGAAUACAGCUUAAAAUCACAACUUGGAGGAACACCAUGAGUUAAACAAGCAUCUCUUCCCUGGUUUCCAACCCAGCUGUGUCCAGUCUGAUGCCCCAUCACCUUACACGGACUGUGUGCUCUGUCGUCAGAUGUAUUUCAAAUUUGGGGCUGAAAAUCCUA